rnacentral:misc_RNA from 1 species
UUAACGAUUUAUAUCUAAACUCAGACAACAUAAUUAUGAAAGAAUUUGAGAAGGCUACUGGCAGGCACUGACCAGGGGUAUGAAACCCCGGCGGCCCUUAAAGGCGGGCCUACCAAAGCAACAUGGUAUAGUUAACAAAGGGUUGGAGGUCGGGCCUAGAAGACCCUAACUCGGUAAUGAUCCUUCCGCAGGUUCACCUACGGAAA